rnacentral:rRNA from 1 species
AAUGGCUCAUUAAAUCAGUUAUCGUUUAUUUGAUAGUACCUUACUACUUGGAUAACCGUGGUAAUUCUAGAGCUAAUACAUGCUAAAAACCCCGACUCCGGGAGGGGUGUAUUUAUUAGAUAAAAAACCAAUGCCCUCCGGGGCUCUUUGGUGAUUCAUGAUAACUUAACGGAUCGCAUGGCCUUGCGCCGGCGACGGUUCAUUCAAAUUUCUGCCCUAUCAACUUUCGAUGGUAAGGUAUUGGCUUACCAUGGUUUCAACGGGUAACGGGAGAUCAGGGUUUGACUCCGGAGAGGGAGCCUGAGAAACGGCUACCACAUCCAAGGAAGGCAGCAGGCGCGCAAAUUACCCAAUCCCGACACGGGGAGGUAGUGACAAUAAAUACUGAUACAGGGCUCUUUUGGGUCUUGUAAUUGGAAUGAGUACAAUUUAAACCCCUUAACGAGGAACAAUUGGAGGGCAAGUCUGGUGCCAGCAGCCGCGGUAAUUCCAGCUCCAAUAGCGUAUAUUAAAGUUGUUGCAGUUAAAAAGCUCGUAGUUGAACCUUGGGCCUGGCUGGCCGGUCCGCCUCACCGCGUGCACUGGUCCGGCCGGGCCUUUCCUUCUGGAGAGCCCCAUGCCCUUCACUGGGUGUGCGGGGGAACCAGGACUUUUACUUUGAAAAAAUUAGAGUGUUCAAAGCAGGCCUUUGCUCGAAUACAUUAGCAUGGAAUAAUAGAAUAGGACGUGCGGUCCUAUUUUGUUGGUUUCUAGGACCGCCGUAAUGAUUAAUAGGGAUAGUCGGGGGCAUCCGUAUUCAAUUGUCAGAGGUGAAAUUCUUGGAUUUAUUGAAGACGAACUACUGCGAAAGCAUUUGCCAAGGAUGUUUUCAUUAAUCAGUGAACGAAAGUUAGGGGAUCGAAGACGAUCAGAUACCGUCGUAGUCUUAACCGUAAACUAUGCCGACUAGGGAUUGGGCGAUGUUACUAUUUUGACUCGCUCAGCACCU